AACGAACGCUGGCGGCAUGCCUAACACAUGCAAGUCGAACGAACCCUUCGGGGUUAGUGGCGCACGGGUGCGUAACGCGUGGGAAUCUGCCCUUUGCUUCGGAAUAACAGUUAGAAAUGACUGCUAAUACCGGAUGAUGUCUUCGGACCAAAGAUUUAUCGGCAACGGAUGAGCCCGCGUAGGAUUAGGUAGUUGGUGGGGUAAAGGCCGACCAAGCCGACGAUCCUUAGCUGGUCUGAGAGGAUGAUCAGCCACACUGGGACUGGGACACGGCCCAGACUCCUACGGGAGGCAGCAGUGGGGAAUAUUGGACAAUGGACGCAAGUCUGAUCCAGCAAUGCCGCGUGAGUGAUGAAGGCCUUAGGGUUGUAAAGCUCUUUUACCAGGGAUGAUAAUGACAGUACCUGGAGAAUAAGCUCCGGCUAACUCCGUGCCAGCCGCCGCCGUAAAAC
rnacentral:rRNA from 1 species